rfam:Pseudomonas chlororaphis subsp. aureofaciens 30-84 chromosome, whole genome shotgun sequence.
UGGCGUUUCUCGGAACGUUGCCUUUUGAGAGGAAAGCCAAAUGGCACUCAGCGUUGAAGAAAAAGCUCAAAUCGUAACCGACUACCAGCAAGCUGUU